AAUAUUGCACAAUGGGCGCAAGCCUGAUGCAGCAACGCCGCGUGCGCGACGAAGGCCUUCGGGUCGUAAAGCGCUUUUCGGGGAGAUGAGUACGGACAGUAUCCCCGGAAGAAGGAUCGGCUAACUACGUGCCAGCAGCCGCGGUAAUACGUAGGGUGCAAGCGUUAAUCGGAAUUACUGGGCGUAAAGCGUGUGUAGGCGGUUCGGAAAGAAAGAUGUGAAAUCCCAGGGCUCAACCUUGGAACUGCAUUCUUAACUACCGGACUAGAGUAUGUCAGAGGGGGGUAGAAUUCCGCGUGUAGCAAUGAAAUGCGUAGAUAUGCGGAGGAAUACCGAUGGCGAAGGCAGCCCCCUGGGAUAAUACUGACGCUCAUGCACGAAAGCGUGGGUAGCAAACAGG
rnacentral:rRNA from 1 species